CUGUGUGAAGGCUGCCAAAGCAGCAGCAGAAAACUCGCCAGGCUGCAGCGCGUCUGCCGCGUCUGCCGCGUCUGCCGCUUGGGCCGCAUCUGCCGCGUCUGCCGCGUCUGCCACGUCUGCCGCUUGGGCCGCUUGCUCACAAGGGCGACUGGAGGAGGAUGAGGGAAUGCCACCUCUGCUCCUUAGCUCCACAACUUCAACGGAGGCAGAAAUAAAAUGAGGACACACAAACACUGCCCGAAGCAGUCUCGCCACACACGGGGCCUCUUCCAACAGUAGCCCUAAUGUUCCUGGUUCCAUGAGCUUCAGAUGAAACAGUAAGGAUGUUCUAAAGAACAGCAUGGACAGACUGCCUACCAUCUGUGGACUCUAUCGUCAUCGUGGGCCCCUUUCUGUGACUGUUGAGUGUGAGUCGAGGUGAAGAUGUGUGAAUUGCAGGUGCUAAAACUAAUUACUGCAUCACUGGAUCUGAGAUCUGUGUGGUUGGGGAUACACCACCACCGCCAUCACUGCCAUCACUGCCAUCACCGCCAUCACCAUCGUCUCAGCUGAACACUAAAGAGCUGCUUUUCUCAAGAAUGUCGGUGAGAGCUGUAAUAGGCUUCCAAAUGAAAAAGUCAAGUUCUGAGAAUUAGGUCAUCCAAAAUGGAACUCAGAACCCACACUCUAAAAAUAGACUGUUAUAGAAAGGAGCUCUCUAGAUGGCGUGUUUGAGGUGAAAAGCUGGAACUAAGGCCCUUGCAUACGGUCAGUCCCUCAGAUGUCCCACAGUCACUUGAAUCCUGAUGGUGAGCCCAGUGUGUCACCCCAGCUGGGCGGUGGCACCUGGAUAUUUGGUCAAACAUUAUGCUGGCUGUUGGAUCCAGAGUCACGAAAUAAUGGGGGACAGACCACCAAAGUCUAUUAAAUCAGAAGCAGACUUUAUUCCAGAAAAAAAAGAAAAAAAUAUUACCGAGGGGCACAAAAGCUUAUCAGCUACUGAGACCACAGCCAGAGUUGGAUUUUGAGGCUGUGGCCAUGGAGGCGGGUUCUGGUCCCCUUUUUAUAGUAAGGGGGAAAGCAUUAGGCAUGGAGUGCAUGCUAGAAGUCACGUAGAAACAUCUAUUAAAAAGUUAACUUUGGUCCGGGCAGUCGUUGGCUUAUGGGGCAAGGGGUUAAAAGUUAACCCCUGGCUGUUGACAGAGGAACCGGCUGUAAAGCAGACAGCCAUUGUUAGACAUUAACCUUUAAGCUGAUGAUUGUCGACUUUCCCCCCCUUAGGUUUAUAAUUUUAUAUGUCUAUAUUCCUGGACCCUUCACUGGCUAGUUCUGAGCAGGAUGUUUGGGGACCGUUAAUAGUUAAAACUGUGGACUGUGAGCACAGCAGGGUACCGUUCAUGUGGGGGGGGGGGGCUCAUCAGUCAAGGGCUCGGGCCUGAAAGAGGACGGAAUCCCACCAGCAAACCGCCAUGCGCUUGAACUGUAACCCUCUCUGCUCUCUGCCUGUCGGCAAACCUAGUUGGCACUGGUUUUGCCAGCCCUCCAAAAUCAUGUUGUCAGCUUCUUAAAUUCACUCCUCCUCCUGUCCUGCCGCUUCUUUCAUUUCCCCCUCUCUCCCUGCACACACAUACACACAUACACACACACACAUACACACACAUACACAUAUACACACAUAUACACAUAUAUGCACACACACAUACACAUACACACACACAUACACGUAUACACACAUACACGCAUAUACACACACAUAUACAUACACACACAUAGGCACACACACAUACACAUAUACACACACAUACACACACAUAUAUACAUACAUACACAUAUAUACACACAUAUAACAUACACAUACACACACAUACACCACACACACAUAUAUACACACACCUACAUAUACAUAACAUACACAUAAACACACAUACACCACACACAUACAUACAGACACACAUCCACACACACCUUUGUUCCAUUGGUCCUGUUUCUCUGGAGACUCUUGACUGAGAGCCAUGGUAAGUGAACACAUUUCUUUCCUCAUCACUGUGACCAAAGGCCUGAAACAGCUUAAGGGACAUGGAAGGCAGGGGUGUGAAGCUGCUUGCUCACGGCUCUGUGGAGCCGCCCAGCAGGGGCCUGAUGGGUUGUGCUGCUCUUUGCUACAUCAGGAGCCAUUAGGAGCAACUGAUGGUUACAAACCCCAGGCCAGCAGGGUGAGAACAAAAUGACUCAUGUAGAAAUGGCUGUACGGUUCAACAGAGCAGAGGACAGCCCACUGAGGGUGCUCCAAGUGGAAAUAACCUCAGAAGGACAGCAAGAAGAGUGUGUCUGUGUGUGCGGACCUCAAGUGUCACUCGGCAGGGGACAGAGAAGUAGGUUCUCUAAGCCAGACUUGGCAUCAUAGCAGGAAAGUUGAGCCUGAGCUGGAGGAAUGACAAUCACCACAAGAGCCUUAUGGGGACAUUAUCUCAGUUUACACUGUGGGAAGGUGUCUGCCGCUCACAGCACACACAGAUGACUCAAAGACAGACAAAGGAACCGUCAAGCGAGUUCCUCUCGGGAGUGAGCGAUCCACACGGAGUCACACAUCUGCCCAGCUUCCGAGGGAUGGGAGCCUCCUGGGGGACAUGGGCCGUCUGCUCCCUCUGCCUGGCUUACAGCUCUAACAGCUGUUGUCCCUCCUUCUUGUCUCAUUAGUGGCCACAACCCACUUUGGAUGGUAGGCACUUUCCACCCACCUGGACGGGAUGGCGGGUGCGGCUGCCUCACGUCUGACAAGGCUUGAAGGCAGCCAACCUUCUCCUGCUAUCAAAGAAAGGAGAGCCAGCGCGUGGGCCGCUAAAUAUUUGAGCUGUGGUGUGGGUUUGAACAAGAAUGGCCCCCAUAGGCUCAUAUAUUUGAAAGCUUAGUCACCAGGGAGUGGAACUCUUUGAUAGAAUUAGAAAGAUUAGGAGGUGUGGCCUUGAUGGAGGAAGUGUGUCACGAGGGGUGGGCUUUGAGGUUUUCAAAAGUCCACACCAGGCCCAGUACUUCUCCCUCACAUCCCCCUCCCCCAUGUAGCUCUCAGCUCCUGCUCCAGCCCCAGGCACGCUGCCGUACUUCCUACCAUGAUGACGAUGGACUGAACCUCUGAAACUGUAAGCCAGCCCCAAUUAAAUGGUUUCUCUGAUACUUGUUACCUUGGUGUCUCUUCAUAGCAAUAGAACAGUGAACCAAAGCUAACUGUGAAAGAGCAGAAAACAGAAACAGAAAGAAAGGGAGAGAUCGAUGCAGACCUGAAGACAGACUGUGCCGUGGAAGCAGGGGUGUGGGCUGGGACAUAGAGAGGUGCCAUCUGGGUGCCUGGUGGGGAAACGAGACACUCAGUUUGUGGUGGUGGCUGGUGAUGUUCUCUUCAUUAGAGAUAGCACAGACUUAGUCUGAGGGUCUCUCAGAUUAACAGUCACACCAGACCAGAAGACGUCUAGACCAGAAGACAUUCUGCAGUCUGAAUGGGAUGACCGUGGCAGCAGAGGCAGAAACAACACCUGCUCCCAACUCAGCAUGCGCAGGCUUGGCUGAUGGGUACAACCAGGUGGGCAACAGCCAUGAACCCAUGGUGACUUCAUCUCCACCGAGUCACCUUCAACCUGUGAGUCACGAUAACCCAGGGAGAGUCCUGCCAUAGAGCUCUGUCACUGUACCAGGACGUCUGCAGAAGGCUACUGAAAGGAGAGGCAUUUUCGCUCACAGUCCAGUGGACUCAGAUCACAGUCACUCGGUUCCAUUACUUUGAGCCUGACGGCAAGUGGGGUAUUGCUGUGGGAUGGUCUGUAUGUCAAAUGUGUUGCUGAUUGGUCAAUAAAUAAAUCACUGAUUGGCCCGUGGCCAGGCAGGAAGUAUAGGCGGGACAAGGAGGAGAAUAGAGCUGGGAAGUGGAAGGCUGAGAGAGAGAGACACUGCCAGCCGCCAUCAGGACAAGGAAGAUGUAAAGUACCGGUAAGCCACAAGCCACGUGGCAAGGUAUAGAUUAAUAGAAAUGGAUUAAUUUAAGCUGUAAGAACAGUUAGCAAGAAGCCUGCCACAGCCAUACAGUUUGAAACCAAUAUAAGUCUCUGUGUUUACUUGAUCGGGUUUGAGCGGCUUGGGACUGGCAGGUGAGAGAGAUUUGUCCUGACUGUGGGCCAGGCAAGAAAACUCAAGCUACAGGGUAUCAUGAUGGAGACAGUGUGGGGGAUUGAAGCUGCUCCCCAUGGUGACUGGGAAGGAGAGAGAGAGAGAGAGAGAGAGAGAGAGAGAGAGAGAGAGAGAGAGAGAGAGAGAGAGAGAAUAAGCACUCAUCAUAUGGGGCACAAGACACAGUCCCUAGAAACACACCUCAGUGUUCAAAGGACUUGACACUUCCUCUAGGCCCCAGCUCCUAAGUUCCCUCCCACCCCCUCCCAACCGUCCUCUGAACCAUGCACAUCAAUGGAGUCAUCCACUGCUGAGGCCAAAGCCCUUAUGGCAACCAUUGCCGACAGUUACCAGCCAACACUGACCUCUUAACACAUGGUCCUUGGGGCCAUUUAGCUCCAUCUGCCGGGAGCUGUUCCUGGAGACAGCCCCACCCUGUGCAGGCUUUACUUGGCUACCUCCCUGACUGAUACUCUAUGUAUCAGUUUCUUUUCUCAUCACCAUGACAGAACCUUUUGCUGUGGGAUGUUCUGUAUGUCAAAUGUGUUGCUGAUUAGUCAAUAAUUAAAACACUGAUUGGCCAUUGGCUAGGCAGGAAGUGUAGGCGGGACAAGGAGGAGAAUAAAGCUGGGAAGUGGAAGGCUGAGUGAGAGAGACACUGCCAGCCGCCACGAUGAGAAACAGCAUGUGAAGAUGCCGGUAAGCCACGAGCCAUGUACCAAGGUAUAGAUUUAUGGAAAUGGAUUAAUUUAAGCAGUAAGAACAGUUAGCAAGAAGCCUGCCACGGCCAUACAGUUUGAAACCAAUAUAAGUCUCUGUGUUUACUUGGUCGGGUUUGAGAGGCUGUGGGACUGGCAGGUGAGAGAGAUUUGCCCUGACUGUGGGCCAGGCAGGAAAACUCUACCUACAAAUGGUGUCCAACGUGGUGGCAAGAGUUUCCACCUAAAACCUGAGAAAAAAGAUUCUAAAAAGGAGCUAAAAACAGUUCCUAAUUGUCUCUCUCAAAUGAGCGGCAGCUGCUGGUUUGAGCUACUGGUGGGUUCCUGGAGUGUGCGCUCAACCUGCAGUAUGGCGGGAAUAAGACCUCUGCAAGUGGCACAUUAAGCUGCAUGGUGGAUUUAGCCUUUGCAGGUACAAAACAAAAAAAGAGGUUUCUGGACUACACGCUCUUUGGAUAAAAGCAUAGACCCACAUAGCUCCCAGAGCUGGUGGUAAAUGUAGCCAUGUUGGGAAGCUGAGGUGGGCGGAGCCAGCUGCCACAGCUGCUGCAGUUUAAAGCAACAGAUUCACAAUAAGACAGAUUCAGAUGUAAUAGUUUACAGUGUGUGUAAAAUAUACGUAGGCUUGAAAGAGACAAAAAAGGUGAUAUAUAAAGUUAUAUAAACAAAUACAUAGUUUUAAAAAUAAAGUCUUUAAAGAGACA